ACAAUACAAAUUAUUAUGAUGAUGAAGGUCCAGUUUAUUUUGUUCUCUGUUUUGUUCUUAUGGUUGGUAACUGAUCAUUCCACUGCUUCUAGAUUGCUUCAACAAGAUAAGAGUGAAGUUUUGGUGUCUAAUUCCAGGCCAAAUCCAAGCACAGAUAAUCAGAAGAUUGAUGGAGGUAAAAUCUUAUCAUGCAAGGAGAAGGCUGACUGCAAAAUUAUGUAUGAAGACACUGAUUAUAUAUACUCCCACACUAAACCCUGAUUACAUAUAGUCAGAUUGAUUUUGUAUUUGUUAUUGGACAAAUAUAGCUAUGCAUAAAGACAAGCUAUCAAUUGUUCUAAUGUUUUUAUAACUUUUAUUGUAUUAUUAUCAUGACAAAUAGAUUUCUUAU